UUCUGAACUCAACACUUCUUGCCGAUCAACCCAUCCGCCGAUUUUGAAAAAACGACGAUGAAAUUCAUCUUCGCAUGCUUACUUGCUCUGGCUUCGGUCGUAGCUAUCACAGAAGGCAUUGAAUGCUAUGAUGAUUACUGUGCCAAGAACCCGUGCAGAAAUAUGACGAGACAAGAGUGCUGCGAGAGAAACCAAAUUUACAAAUCCAAGGGUUCAUUUUGCGGAUGUUGCAAUACCUGUGUUGACAAAAUUAGUAAAGGAAGGAAUUGUGAUAUAUGGGAGAUAAAGGGAGCACCAGCCAAAUCAGAGUGUGAAGCCGGCACCGAAUGGAGGCAAGUGCACGAUGAAAACAGCGAUACAUACGAGUGGCAGUAAAGUUAGUGAAAUCGCCUACAGCAAAGGCAGUAUCGCAAACGACCAAAACGCAAAAGCAAAACGAUUUUGUCAAUUUAGCAAAUUUGAUUUUGAUCAUUUCUUUGCCUUGGUGUAAGAUUUUCGUUAAUUUUGUAGAAUAGACAAAGUGUUCGGUUGAUUUAACUUGAAUAUCGACGAAAUCGUUAGAUAAAAAUAUUUUAGUAUUUUUACACAAUUCUGUAACUGAGCGAUGAGAAUAUCAAUACCUGCAAUUACUCUAUCACAUGUAUAUUCAUGUACGGUUUAGCUAUGUAAAUGUAAAAUAAGUAUAAUUAACUGGAGGAAGUCAAUGUCUUUUGAGCACGCACAGAAGCUCGUCUAGUUUUUACAGCAGAAAUUGUAUUACCAUGAGUAAACGUUGGGUUGAUAUAUCAACCCAUCAAACGUUGUGACAACUCAGCGAAA